CCUGCAUGAAGUCGGAAUUGCUAGUAAUCGCAGAUCAGCAUGCUGCGGUGAAUACGUUCCCGGGCCUUGUACACACCGCCCGUCACACCAUGGGAGUCGGUAACACCCGAAGUCGGUAGCCUAACCGUAAGGAGGGCGCCGCCGAAGGUGGGAUUGAUGACUGGGGUGAAGUCGUAACAAGGUACC
rnacentral:rRNA from 1 species